GGUCCGUGGUGUAGGGGUUAACAUGCCUGCCUGUCACGCAGGAGAUCGCGGGUUCAAAUCCCGUCGGGACCG
rnacentral:tRNA from 1 species